rnacentral:rRNA from 1 species
GACAGAGGGUGCAAACGUUGCUCGGAAUUACUGGGCGUAAAGCGUGCGCAGGCGGUUUUGUAAGCCAGAUGUGAAAGCCCCGGGCUCAACCUGGGAAUGGCAUUUGGGACUGCAAGGCUUGAGUGCGGCAGAGGAGACUAGAAUUCCUGGUGUAGCAGUGAAAUGCGUAGAUAUCAGGAGGAAUACCGAUGGCGAAGGCAGGUCUCUGGGCUGACACUGACGCUCAUGCACGAAAGCGUGGGGAGCAAACAGG